AACGAACGCUGGCGGCAUGCCUAACACAUGCAAGUCGAACGAGACCUUCGGGGCUAGUGGCGCACGGGUGCGUAACGCGUGGGAACCUGCCCUUAGGUUCGGAAUAACUCCCCGAAAGGGGUGCUAAUACCGGAUAAUGUCCUCGGACCAAAGAUUUAUCGCCUUUGGAUGGGCCCGCGUUGGAUUAGCUAGUUGGUAGGGUAAAAGCCUACCAAGGCGACGAUCCAUAGCUGGUCUGAGAGGAUGAUCAGCCACACUGGGACUGAGACACGGCCCAGACUCCUACGGGAGGCAGCAGUGGGGAAUAUUGGACAAUGGGCGAAAGUCUGAUCCAGCAAUGCCGCGUGAGUGAUGAAGGCCUUAGGGUUGUAAAGCUCUUUUACCCGGGAUGAUAAUGACAGUACCGGGAGAAUAAGCUCCGGCUAACUCCGUG
rnacentral:rRNA from 1 species